rnacentral:rRNA from 1 species
UACGGAGGGUGCAAACGUUGCUCGGAAUCAUUGGGCGUAAAGCGCACGUAGGCGGCCUGUUAAGUCGGAUGUGAAAGCCCCGGGCUCAACCCGGGAAGUGCAUUCGAAACUGGCGGGCUUGAAUAUGGAAGAGGGUCGCGGAAUUCCCGGUGUAGAGGUGAAAUUCGUAGAUAUCGGGAGGAACACCAGUGGCGAAGGCGGCGACCUGGGCCAAU